rnacentral:rRNA from 1 species
GACGAACGCUGGCGGCGUGCUUAACACAUGCAAGUCGAACGGAAAGGCCCUGCUUGCCGGGUACUCGAGUGGCGAACGGGUGAGUAACACGUGGGUGAUCUGCCCUGCACUUCGGGAUAAGCUUGGGAAACUGGGUCUAAUACCGGAUAGGAACCAUCUUUAGUGUGGUGGUUGGAAAGUUUUUUCGGUGUUGGAUGAGCUCACGGCCUAUCAGCUUGUUGGUGGGGUAAUGGCCUACCAAGGCGGCGACGGGUAGCCGGCCUGAGAGGGUGUACGGCCACAUUGGGACUGAGAGACGGCCCAGACUCCGACGGGAGGCAGCAGGGGGGAAGAUUGCACAAUGGGCGCAAGGCUGAUGCAGCGACGCCGCGGGGGGGAUGAAGGCCUUCGGGUUGUAAACUCAUUUCGCUAGGGACGAAGCUUUUUGUGACGGUACCUAGAUAAGAAGCACCGGCUAACUACGUG